rnacentral:rRNA from 1 species
CCUACGGGUGGCUGCAGUGGGGGAUCUUGGACAAUGGGGGAAACCCUGAUCCAGCGAUGCCGCGUGUGUGAAGAAGGCCUUCGGGUUGUAAAGCACUUUAGAUGUGGAGGAAGGGUAGCAGGUUAAGAGCUGGCUACCUUGACGGUACACAAAGAAUAAGCACCGGCUAACUCUGUGCCAGCAGCCGCGGUAAUACAGAGGGUGCGAGCGUUAAUCGGAAUUACUGGGCGUAAAGGGCGCGUAGGCGGUUGAUUAAGCUGUAUGUGAAAGAAUUG